rnacentral:tRNA from 1 species
GCCGCUGUGGCUCAGCCGGUUAGAGCGGCGGUUUCGUAAACCGCAGGCCGGGGGUUCGAAUCCCUCCAGCGGCU